rnacentral:rRNA from 1 species
GGAAUAUCCUACGGGAGGCAGCAGUGGGGAAUCUUGCGCAAUGGGCGAAAGCCUGACGCAGCCAUGCCGCGUGAAUGAUGAAGGUCUUAGGAUUGUAAAAUUCUUUCACCGGGGACGAUAAUGACGGUACCCGGAGAAGAAGCCCCGGCUAACUUCGUGCCAGCAGCCGCGGUAAUACGAAGGGGGCUAGCGUUGCUCGGAAUUACUGGGCGUAAAGGGCGCGUAGGCGGACAGUUAAGUCGGGGGUGAAAGCCCGGGGCUCAACCUCGGAAUUGCCUUCGAUACUGGCUGUCUUGAGUACGGGAGAGGUGUGUGGAACUCCGAGUGUAGAGGUGAAAUUCGUAGAUAUUCGGAAGAACACCAGUGGCGAAGGCGACACACUGGCCCGUUACUGACGCUGAGGCGCGAAAGCGUGGGGAGCAAACAGGAUUAGAUACCCUGGUAGUCCACGCCGUAAACGAUGAGUGCUAGUUGUCGGCAUGCAUGCAUGUCGGUGACGCAGCUAACGCAUUAAGCACUCCGCCUGGGGAGUACGGUCGCAAGAUUAAAACUCAA